UACGGGGGGAGCAAGCGUUGUUCGGAUUUACUGGGCGUAAAGGGCGCGUAGGCGGCCACCGCAAGUCGAUUGUGAAAUCUCCGGGCUUAACCCGGAAAGGUCAGCCGAUACUGCGGGGCUAGAGUGCAGAAGGGGCAACUGGAAUUCUCGGUGUAGCGGUGAAAUGCGUAGAUAUCGAGAGGAACACCUGCGGCGAAGGCGGGUUGCUGGGCUGACACUGACGCUGAUGCGCGAAAGCUAGGGGAGCGAACGGG
rnacentral:rRNA from 1 species